CCUACGGGCGGCUGCAGUGGGGAAUAUUGCACAAUGGGCGCAAGCCUGAUGCAGCCAUGCCGCGUGUGUGAAGAAGGCCUUCGGGUUGUAAAGCACUUUCAGCGGGGAGGAAGGCGUUAAGGUUAAUAACCUUGGCGAUUGACGUUACCCGCAGAAGAAGCACCGGCUAACUCCGUGCCAGCAGCCGCGGUAAUACGGAGGGUGCAAGCGUUAAUCGGAAUUACUGGGCGUAAAGCGCACGCAGGCGGUCUGUCAAGUCGGAUGUGAAAUCCCCGGGCUCAACCUGGGAACUGCAUUCGAAACUGGCAGGCUAGAGUCUUGUGGAGGGGGGUAGAAUUCCAGGUGUAGCGGUGAAAUGCGUAGAGAUCUGGAGGAAUACCGGUGGCGAAGGCGGCCCCCUGGACAAAGACUGACGCUCAGGUGCGAAAGCGUGGGGAGCAAACAGGAUUAGAUACCCCUGUAGUC
rnacentral:rRNA from 1 species